UACAGAGGGGGCAAGCGUUGUUCGGAAUUACUGGGCGUAAAGCGCACGUAGGCGGCUUGGUAUGUCGGGUGUGAAAUCCCCGGGCUCAACCUGGGAACUGCAUCCGAAACUGCCUUGCUAGAGUAUGGGAGAGGGAAGUGGAAUUUCCGGUGUAGCGGUGAAAUGCGUAGAUAUCGGAAGGAACAUCAGUGGCGAAGGCGACUUCCUGGACCAAUACUGACGCUCAGGUGCGAAAGCGUGGGGAGCAAACAGG
rnacentral:rRNA from 1 species